GGUUCGUACUAAAACCAAUUCGGUUAAACCGAAUGCUUACCCCUAACCAGGAGAACCCAACAAUAGCUAUAUGUGCCGCUAUCCGCCAUUCUUCUAAUUCCAGCGUUUGAUCAAAGCCUUAAUCACCUCUUCUUAUGACGUUGAACUGAUUUUUCUGUGGGUUUAACUUUUAUGAGGUGCCAUUUAUUUGAUUAGCUUUUCUGGAACUCCAUUUUGUUGAAGAGAGGAGCUCCAUUUUUGUCUGGAGUACAGGUUCUUGUUCAUUUUUUUAUUUCUAACACAAUUCUUUACUCAAGGAUCUGUAAUCAUGUUCUGUUUUGUUUCGGUUCUUGUUAGUGUUCUGACAAAUACUAGAGAAAUCAGUUUCUGUUGUCUUUGACUCAUAGAAACCCGAAGAAAUUGAGAGUACCAGAAACCAAAAGUAAAUAUAUAAAGAAAAUUAGAUUAUUGCUGCUUCAA